rnacentral:lncRNA from 1 species
CCAGUUGUGAAUGCUGCUGGUUUUGAUGCCUUAGCCAACUCCGCAGACUGAUAAGCGCUACGAAGAGCGGGCAACGAAGUAACAGAAGGAGCGAGAUUACAGCUGGGGUUAGGAGCUAGGUGAUUAACGUUUGGUACAAUGAGACGAAUCCUGGACAUGAAAGAUAAAUCAGCGAGCUUGGAGGCUGAGAUAUGAGAAACCCAUAAUGACUUUUCGUCCUGAACCGAACCAGACACUGAAGCAGCAAUAGGCUCUGGUUCAGAACCUCGAACAAGUGAUCUAAGAGAGGAGAACUUGUCAGAGACAUCUGCAGAGACAGAAGCGGCGAUAACAGCUGCAGCAGCAACAAGUGGCCGUUGGAUACUCCCAGACAAAUAACUCAUGAUGGCCACAAUCUAAAUCCAAAACUAGCAUAAAAGUCUCAAUGCAAUGGAAAGGACUCCUGUUAUAUAAGAAGAGAAAUAGUAGUGUAAAUAUAAGUAUACACACACACAAAACACAUGUUGAAAACGCGUGUAAGACUACAAGAUUGUUGGGACAUGCUGUAAAUUACCUGGAAGCAGAGCUUCCUUUUGAUUCUUCAAACGAACUCGGGCUGUCAAGUAAUGACAGCCCGACCACAAUGUAGUAAUUGCUUGGUCAGAGUCAAAUCUCUCUUUAUGCAUUAUUUGAGAGCAAUAGGUGCGUACGACUCAUUUCAGCAGCAGACAGAACGAGGAAAGGGUCGUGGUCAUAAGAGUCGACGCUAACACAUCUACCUAAUAUUCCUAAUGCUGUGAUAUUUGUAUCACCACUGCUUCGCUAAUCUUUUAUUUGCUUCAGUAUGCUAUAUUUGCUUGGUAUGUAUAAUUUGAUUCUCUAUGUUUGAUUUGCUUCGGCACAAUAUUUUCUUUGCUUGGUAUGUUAUAUUUGCACAGUAUGCUAUAUUUGCUUGGUAUGUUUUGAUUCACUAAUGUUGAUGCAGCAAUCCAAUAAGAUACAUAUAAAAAAAUUAUCUAUAAAACUUUACAUCCUAGCACAAGAAACAUUUGUUAUAUACUUAUAUCAUACGAAGCUACAUUGACAUCACACUGAGUGGGAGUGUCAUACAAACCCAUUGAGGCAUCUCCUGAACAAUACAUAACUAUGAUCAAUUUAUAGCUAAAUUAUAAUACUGAGUGGAACCAUAUGUUAACUUAUAGCUUAUAAUCAAAAAUUAACUAUCAAGAGCAAUUAUCAAUAAACAACUGAUCUAUCUCAGCUAUCCCCCAACAAUCAAUUACUUGCCAAGCACACAAUGACAACAGACACAAUCACUUCAAUUACAACACAAGAAAAAAAUAUAAACGCACCAUGAACGACCCAUAAUAUUUCAAGAUUUAUAACUAUAUCGUAUCUCACCGAGUAAUGUAUUCUACUUCGGAUAUAAUAAGUGCAACCAUAAAUAUUUUCGCAUUUUUUCUACCCAAAAAUAGUUUCUCAUCUAUGUGAAACGUAUAAAAAAUUGGAACAUCCAUUCUAAACUUGAUUACCCCUAGCAUAAAAUAGUAAUUAUAUAUUUUAAAUCAAACACACAAUUGAAAUAGCCCAUUUAUUUGACCAACCGAAUUCGAAUAAUUUACAAUCAAAUGAGAAGGACCUGCACGGAGUUUUUUUCCAGCUAAGCCAGGUAUGUACAUUUUUAUAUAAAUAACAUAACUAUUGUAUGAGUGCGUUACGUAUUCAGACACUUUUUUCUUUUUUUUGUCAUGUUAAGGCACUUCCUGCUAGAGGCAUACUUUCUUUCCUUUUUCUCCAUGUGUUUGUACAUAAUUACCUUACCGGUUAAGAGAAAGAAGAAGCUGGUUAGAUUUUUUAAUUUUAAAAUGAUAUCAAGUUUGUGGGGACCAAUUUUAACUAUAGUAGUUGCGUCACUUUUUUUUAUUCGUACUUUAUAUCUCCUCAAACCAAACCAAAUGAAAAGACAUGUUUCUUUCUUUUUUUUAAUUAUUAUUGUUUGUUUUACCUAGUUUUAGUUUGUUUUGUUUAUUUUAAAUUUAAGGAUAUAUUUGACAAAUUUGUUUGAUAUAUUAAAUUAUGUUUUUUUAUUUUCUAUAAUUUGAUAUCCAUUUUGAUAUGUAUACAAAUGAAAAAAGUGGACAAAAAAGUUGUGGAUAGAGAAACAUUGUAAUUGUGUACAUCCAACUAUUGUGGAUGGAUAUGAUCAUAUGAUAUGUUUUCUUUUUUUAAUAUUGCUUUAUCAAUCUUUUCUAUUUCUUUAUGUGAUUAUUUUAACAUAUUAAAGUAUAUAACUAAAUAAAUUUUUGAUAUCAUAAAUUUUAUCUUUUUGUUCUUUACAUUUUUAGAUCCAUUUUAGUAUAUUUUUGCAAUCUAAAUAUGAAAAAAUCAUAUCAACAAAAAAUAAUCGUGUAUAUAGAAAAAAUGUGGACAUGGACACAUCUAAUGUUUUCAAUUGUAUUUUAAUGUCUGUGUUAGUGGAUGUGAUCUUUUUUAAAAAAGAAAUGAUUGGUUAUUUAUUUUAUUAUUGUUUAUACUACCUAAUGUUUUCAAUUGAUUUUAUUUCAAAUUUUUAAGAGUUAUAAAAUAAAUAUACUAUUACAAUAAUUUUUAUAUAUAAUUUUCUGUUUUUGACAUCAUUUUAUAUAUAUCAUAUAUGUAUAUAUAUCAACGUUUACAAAAAAAAUAUGUCGACAUGGACAUGAACUAAAUAUGUGGAUGUGGACGACAUAUGUAGAUAAAAAUUUGUAGACAAAAGUGUUUUCAUUACUUGAAAGAGAAACCAAAGGUCUGGAGACAAUGACUCAAACCAAAAUGUGAGGUGCGGAUGUGGAUGUGUUUAUCUCAUCUAAAUUCAAGAAAAUGUUUUGCACAUUUUAAAAGUAUUGGGUGAAAGCGUAAAUAACCAAAACGUGAGGGACCACAAUUAAAAAAACUGAAAAUUCACCAUUGUUGCUCUCACUCUCUAGCAUGACCCAAAUCACCAACUAGCAGCAGAUCAAACUCGUUGACAUCAUCAGCUACAUGAACUUCUCCGAUUCCAGCCCUACUCUGCGUUUGUCGUCGCACAGGUUCAGUCGUCCUCCGCUGAAGUAGAGAGGUGCCGUCGUCACACAUUCAAACACAACUUUCUUGUCUUAUUCUUCCCCUUGCUCCUCCACAUCUCCUUUUCACUGACACAGAACAAGCAAUUAUGAAAUAGUUUUCAUACCAAAACUUUGUGUCUUAUGGUACCAAAAAGAUGUCGUCAUCAACUCAUCUUCUACAAAUCAAAAUCAAAGGAAAACAUUGAGGAUUAAAGACAAACCUGGUGCUAACUUGACGUUUCUAUGUCGUAGUGAGCGCAAGGGAUCGAGCUCAGAGAUAGAUUGGGAGGUAGAGUUGGUUUGGUCAAAGAAACAAGCUCUUAAAAAUUACCGAGAGAAAGACCUAUGAAUUUCUGAGGUUUGUGAUAUUAUUAUUGAGAAAGUAAAAAAAACAGAGAGAAAAACAAAAUUUUCCAGAAAAAUGUUGAGUUAGGAAGAAGGAGAGAGUUUGAAAUUAGAAUUAGGGGAUUUGGAAAAGUAAAAGUAGAUUUGAGAUUUGAAAUCAGAAUUGGAGAGAGAUAUGGAAUUAGGGUUGAGAAUUUGUGAAAUAGAAAGUGGAUCUGCGUUUUGAAGGAGAGAAGAGAGAGGAGAGAGGAGAGAGUAGAGAGUAGAGAGAGAUGAGAGAGUAGAGAUGAAAGAAUAUAAUCAUGGUUAGUUGUCUCUGGUUAGGUUAGUCUGGUCUGGUCAAAAUUGGGGGUAUGAAAGACAUUCGACAGGCAUAAUGUGUCUAGCCAGUGAAAAGUGUCUAAAGGUGUAGACAUAAGACGAAAAGUGUUUAUAGAGUAAAAAAAUCUUAUUGUAUUUGCUUAAAUUUAUGCUUACUAAUUUAUUCUUAACCAAUUUCAGGUCAUUUCUUUCUGAUGAACCUCAGCACAACUUCUGAUCUACAAAAAACUUAAUCUGUUUCUUACAUUAUUUAUUAUGUUUACUUAGCUACUCUUUUAGCUUUAAAACAAUUGCGUAAACUCGAUAUUCACCAAUUUUCAAACAUUUUGGAAAAAAAAUUCUUCCAUUCCAACCAAAAAAACAUCGAAACAUAUAAUAAAAAAUUGACUAUAAACCCACUUUUCCGGGCGGAGACAGGACCUAGUAAACUGUAAUAAUUCAAUCUAUACACCAAUCCAAACCAAAAGAAUCAUCAAGUAGUCCUUUUUUUUCUUCUGUAUAAAAAUGACCCAAAGAAUAAAAGUUGGCAACAACAACACUUGUGUGGACGGUCGCUAUGAAGAAUGGUUGCAACAGGCAAGGACAAAGUUGUCCAUGAAAUGGUUGAGCUCAGCUGUAUAAAGCUGUGGGUUACUCCUGAAAUGGUCUACAUGAGGUGAAGAUAUGAAGUUGCAGGCACGGACCUCGUGUCCUGCUUUCCUCUGUUCUACAAUGAAUGACUCAACUUGCCCCGCGGGUAUAACUCUAUCCGCAGAGCUGUAAAUGUACAACUGUGGACAUCUUGGUUGUGAUGAUGAUAAAGUCUCUAGAACAUUAGCUAGUCUCCUGUAACAGCACGAGUUUGUUUGGUUAGUGUGAAACAUUGCAUUUGCGUGAUGAAAGGCGCCUUUUUGUGUGUGAGAGAGCUCGUUUGUCGUCACAUGUUCAGUCGUCCUCCGCUGAAGUAGAGAGGUGCCGUCGUCACACAUUCAAACGCAACUUUCUUGUCUUAUUCUUCCCCUUCCUCCUCCACAUCUCCUUUUCACUGACACAGAACAAGCAAUUAUGAAAUAGUUUUCAGACCAAAACUUCGUGUCUUAUGGUACCAAAAAGAUGUCGUCAUCAACUCAUCUUCUACAAAUCAAAAUCAAAGGAAAACAUUGAGGAUUAAAGACAAACCUGGUGCUAACUUGACGUUUCUAUGUCGUAGUGAGCGCAAGGGAUCGAGCUCAGAGAUAGAUUGGGAGGUAGAGUUGGUUUGGUCAAAGAAACAAGCUCUUAAAAAUUACCGAGAGAAAGACCUAUGAAUUUCUGAGGUUUGUGAUAUUAUUAUUGAGAAAGUAAAAAAAACACAGAGAAAAACAAAAUUUUCCAGAGAAAUGUUGAGUUAGGAAGAAGGAGAGAGUUUGAAAUUAGAAUUAGGGGAUUUGGAAAAGUAAAAGUAGAUUUGAGAUUUGAAAUCAUAAUUGGAGAGAGAUAUGGAAUUAGGGUUGAGAAUUUGUGAAAGAGAAAGUGGAUCUGCGUUUUGAAGGAGAGAGGAGAGAGGAGAGAGGAGAGAUGAGAGAGUAGAGAUGAAAGAAUAUAAUCAUGGUUAGUUGUCUCUGGUUAGGUUAGUCUGGUCUGGUCAAAAUUGGGGGUAUGAAAGACAUUCGACAGGCAUAAUGUGUCUAGCCAGUGAAAAGUGUCUAAAGGUGUAGACAUAAGACGAAAAGUGUUUAUAGAGUAAAAAAAUCUUAUUGUAUUUGCUUAAAUUUAUGCUUACUAAUUUAUUCUUAACCAAUUUCAGGUCAUUUCUUUCUGAUGAACCUCAGCACAACUUCUGAUCUACAAAAAACUUAAUCUGUUUCUUACAUUAUUUAUUAUGUUUACUUAGCUACUCUUUUAGCUUUAAAACAAUUGCGUAAACUCGAUAUUCACCAAUUUUCAAACAUUUUGGAAAAAAAAUUCUUCCAUUCCAACCAAAAAAACAUCGAAACAUAUAAUAAAAAAUUGACUAUAAACCCACUUUUCCGGGCGGAGACAGGACCUAGUAAACUGUAAUAAUUCAAUCUAUACACCAAUCCAAACCAAAAGAAUCAUCAAGUAGUCCUUUUUUUUCUUCUGUAUAAAAAUGACCCAAAGAAUAAAAGUUGGCAACAACAACACUUGUGUGGACGGUCGCUAUGAAGAAUGGUUGCAACAGGCAAGGACAAAGUUGUCCAUGAAAUGGUUGAGCUCAGCUGUAUAAAGCUGUGGGUUACUCCUGAAAUGGUCUACAUGAGGUGAAGAUAUGAAGUUGCAGGCACGGACCUCGUGUCCUGCUUUCCUCUGUUCUACAAUGAAUGACUCAACUUGCCCCGCGGGUAUAACUCUAUCCGCAGAGCUGUAAAUGUACAACUGUGGACAUCUUGGUUGUGAUGAUGAUAAAGUCUCUAGAACAUUAGCUAGUCUCCUGUAACAGCACGAGUUUGUUUGGUUAGUGUGAAACAUUGCAUUUGCGUGAUGAAAGGCGCCUUUUUGUGUGUGAGAGAGCUUUUACCUGUUUACUUUGGGAAGAUUAAGAAUCACCGCGAAGAACUUCUCCAGAAUCAUAAGCAAAGCUGUUUCUGUUGCAGCGGGUUUAGGCUCGGAGAAGUUUAUACGUGCUCCCAUGUUUGACUCAAAUGACGAGCUUCCGGAUCCUUUAGUGGCUACACUGUUUUUCUUCAAGAAUGCGGCGGAGAAACCUGAUGCCCAUACCUGCGUUUACAAGCCAAAUUAGUAUCCAUAAAGCUCAACUGAACAGUGCAGAGAUGUAUGACAGGAAUAGCACCCAAACAAAACAUCAUUUAACAAAUCAGAACCAUAAGCCUCACAAGUUAAGCCUCAUUUUACGGCUAUAUGACCAUAUAAAACAAGCUAUGAAUUCAAGAACCAUCGCUUACAGUAGGAUCAGCAGCAGCAACAGGAGCUGAGUCCACUAUGCAACCUUUAACCCUUCCCAUCAAUGAAGAAUCUUGCUUCUGAAACUUUUCCAAAAUGGCUCCAUAUGUUAACCAUCCGGUGUUGCUGAAGGUAUGAAAGACGAGAUUCUUAUGUUGCUCUUCAUCCAACCAAUCAGCCAAAUGAUUAACCAGCGACUCGAUGUUCUUCUCUGCUUUUCCUCCAACUUGGUAGCUCAUAAUCUCAUUCAUGGGGAGAGUAAACGUGAUCACAUGGUAACCCCUUGAAGUAUACCAUUCUGCAUAUUUCUUCAUAUGCUUCUGCUUCGAUCCAAGCCAUCCCAGCAAAACCACGACGGUCCUAUUCUUCUCCAACGCACAUCUCGAGGAGCCAGAGAGAUCAACUGCACCAGUCUCGGGCAAAUGCCAUUUGUACGAAACAUCAGGAACAACAAGAGAGGCCCCAGUUGUGAAUGCUGCUGGUUUUGAUGCCUUAGCCAACUCCGCAGACUGAUAAGCGCUACGAAGAGCGGGCAACGAAGUAACAGAAGGAGCGAGAUUACAGCUGGGGUUAGGAGCUAGGUGAUUAACGUUUGGUACAAUGAGACGAAUCCUGGACAUGAAAGAUAAAUCAGCGAGCUUGGAGGCUGAGAUAUGAGAAACCCAUAAUGACUUUUCGUCCUGAACCGAACCAGACACUGAAGCAGCAAUAGGCUCUGGUUCAGAACCUC